GGGAAUGUGGCUUAGUGGUAGAGUGCUUGCCUAGCAUGUAUGAAGCCCUGGGUUCGAUUCCUCAGUACCA
rfam:Dipodomys ordii contig_9929, whole genome shotgun sequence.